UCAAGAAAACCCAGAAGAACAGUCUUAAUAUUACAACUCCGAAAAGAAAAAGGGAAAAAGAAAUUAGAAAAAGAAAUGGGUCCCCGAAACCAGUGCCUCAACUCGUCGCUGUAACCUGAAAACAAACGAAGACGAGAGAAGAAGAAGAAGAAGAGAUAAAAGGAAAUGUCUUGUUUUUAACACAAAUUUAUGUAUGGAAAUCUAUGGCGUAGAACGAAGUAGAAACAGAGCGAAGAGAGGGUGGGGG
rnacentral:misc_RNA from 1 species